GGAGUGGUAGGGUCCCGGUGGGCUCCCCGGUCUUCAAAACCGGUGACGGGUCGCGUUGCGGGCCGUGGUGGGUUCGACUCCCAUCCGCUCCCGCCA
rnacentral:tRNA from 1 species